rnacentral:tRNA from 1 species
GGUAGGGUGGCCGAGAAGGUGGUGGGUUGUAGCCCCAAGCACGGAGGUUUUAGCCCUCCCCCUACCA